rnacentral:rRNA from 1 species
UGAACGCUGGCGGUAUGCCUAACACAUGCAAGUCGUACGAGAGUUUUUAACUCUAGUGGCGGACGGGUGAGUAACACGUGAGAAUUUGCCUUUAGGAGGGGGAUAACAAUUGGAAACGAAUGCUAAUACCCCAUAUGCUUUUGAGUGAAAUGGAUUUAUAUUUAUCCGCCUAGAGAGAAGCUCGCGGCUGAUUAGCUUGUUGGUAAGGUAAGAGCUUACCAAGGCGACGAUCAGUAUCUGGUUUGAGAGGACGAUCAGACACACUGGAACUGAGACACGGUCCAGACUCCUACGGGAGGCAGCAGUGGGGAAUUUUCCGCAAUGGGCGAAAGCCUGACGGAGCAAUACCGCGUGAGGGAAGACGGCCUAUGGGUUGUAAACCUCUUUUUUCAGGGAGGAAUAAAAUGACGUGUACCUGAAGAAUAAGCAUCGGCUAACUCC